UGCAAUUCUGAGCGUUUAUAUCCGGUCAGCCUGUCUGUUGUUGAUCUUGCCUGUUACCCGUUUACGAUUCCUCUGCUGCCUACCCCUGACCUGUGCUUUGCAUACCGACCUGUGAGUGAUAUCUGCCUGUCCUGAUCAUUGCCUGUAUCCCAACCACUACUCUGCCUGUCCCUUGCUGUUAACUUCUCUGUUUCCACCUGUAGUUUCAACUUGAUAAAAAAUCCCAGAGCCGAAGAUGGACUCCAAGGAUGGGGGAUUGUAGAGAAUGGAGGUGACGGCUGGGUGACAGGAACCAAUAAUAAACCACAUCCAGACGACACGGUCACCAACUGUUUUAUAACAUCUUACGGUUUAUCUUUGAAGCGACAGCUGAUUGAUUUGAAGAAAGAAGGCUACAGUGAUGCUUUCAUGGAUCUGCAACCUCAUAUCAGAAUAUCAGACUGGU